AACUUUUCAGAUCUUGGUGUAUUGUCUUCAUACUUGGCCACAACAACCCUUCAAAUAGACCAGACUAAACUUGACCUCCAUAUAAACAUUCAAGAUGGUGGGCCUACAUGUCAGAUUUGUAAAUGUGAACGGCACGAUAUUGAUUUUAAGGAUGCUUUAGGGUCAAUGAGGAUGAAAUAAAAUGUGAGACUGUCAAUCUGACAAACCUUGCAGUGAAUAAAUGGAAACAGUGGCGUUUGUAUGAUAGAACAGUAAUAGCAGGAGUGAUAAGGACAGAUGCAUGUAGAUGUUUCUU